rnacentral:rRNA from 1 species
UGCCAGCAGCCGCGGUAACACGGGGGGCGCAAGCGUUAUUCGGAAUUAUUGGGCGUAAAGGGCGCGUAGGCGGUCUUGUCAGUCAGGUGUGAAAGCCCGGGGCUCAACCCCGGACGUGCAUUUGAAACAGCAAGACUUGAGUACGGGAGAGGAGAGAGGAAUUCCUGGUGUAGAGGUGAAAUUCGUAGAUAUCAGGAGGAACACCAGUGGCGAAGGCGGCUUUCUGGACCGAUACUGACGCUGAGACGCGAAAGCGUGGGGAGCAAACAGGAUUAGAUA